AGCAGCCGCGGUAAUUCCAGCUCCAAUAGCGUAUAUUAAAGUUGUUGCAGUUAAAAAGCUCGUAGUUGAAUUUCGGGAUUAGUACGCUGGUCGUGCCUUCGGUAUGUACUGGUGUUACUGAUUCCUACCUUCUGACGAACCGUCAUGUCAUUCAUUUGGUGUGGCGGGGAAUCAGGACUGUUACUUUGAAAAAAUUAGAGUGUUUAAAGCAGGCUCGCGCUUGAAUACAUUAGCAUGGAAUAAUGAAAUAGGACGUUCGAUCCUAUUUUGUUGGUUUCUAGGAUUGACGUAAUGAUUAAUAGGGAUAGUUGGGGGCAUUAGUAUUCAAUUGUCAGAGGUGAAAUUCUUGGAUUUAUUGAAGACUAACUACUGCGAAAGCAUUUGCCAAGGAUGUUUUCAUUAAUCAAGAACGAAAGUUAGGGGAUCGAAGACGAUCAGAUACCGUCGUAG
rnacentral:rRNA from 1 species